CAGCAGCCGCGGUAAUACGUAGGUGGCAAGCGUUAUCCGGAAUUAUUGGGCGUAAAGCGCGCGUAGGCGGUUUUUUAAGUCUGAUGUGAAAGCCCACGGCUCAACCGUGGAGGGUCAUUGGAAACUGGAAAACUUGAGUGCAGAAGAGGAAAGUGGAAUUCCAUGUGUAGCGGUGAAAUGCGCAGAGAUAUGGAGGAACACCAGUGGCGAAGGCGGCUUUCUGGUCUGCAACUGACGCUGAUGUGCGAAAGCGUGGGGAUCAAACAGGAUUAGAUACCCCAGUAGUCCCUGUCUCUUAUCC
rnacentral:rRNA from 1 species